rnacentral:sRNA from 1 species
UGACCACUUUCUGAACGGUAGUAUAAAUUUUAGAAAGUUAAGGCAUGCGGACAGCCGGGUCAAAUGCCGA